GACAAACCAUACCAGUAGCCUGUUGAGAAACAAGGUAAGCUGAAGGUGAAAUCCUGUAUGCAAGAUUAAUCAUAAUGCUCAUAUGGCUUGAAACUUUCCACAUGCUUUCCUUGGUGCUACCUCAAAAUUUAACUUGGAUUUUGUUUGCUGUAGCCUCUAUUUUUUGGUACUUUGUGAUGUUGUCAUUCAUGGAACUGUUAAGAUGCUAUUAAAUUAGAAUGUGGAUCAUCUUGAAAAAAAUGAUUUUACUUUGGAAAAUCAUCAAGAAUCUUCUGUGGAUAUUCAAAAUAUGUUACUUGUACCAACAAAGGAAGUCCUGCUUCUUAAUUUAAAGACCAAGUAUCUUCACAGGUAAUGACUUGGUUUACAAGUUGACCGGAUCAGAAUACUUGGCAUAGUUCUUGAAGAAAAUGAGAUGAGUUGAUAGGACUGUUAGGUGGAGAGCCCAACCAAAAGAUUCCACAUCCAAGAAAAGACAAACUUUCAGCAACUAUGUAGAGCAGUAAGGUGGGCUGCCAGGAACUUUCUAUGACCUGAAAUUACCUACUUAUACAAGAAACACUGACUUUUAAUUUUUUUUAAUCCCAUACUUCUAAUAGGUUUACCUGCAUAAGUCCUUGAAUUGGUUGUUCAGGCGAUGUGACACUGAACAAAUUCUUCCAUGUGUUCUAGUAUUGAGCUUAGGGGUAUGUUCUGGAACUGAGGCAGACAGUUUUCC
rnacentral:lncRNA from 1 species